AUUCUUAGCAGCUGCUGCAGCUUGUUUGGUCUUCAGAAAAGUUGAGGUCCAAGUACCCAAGAAAUGCAGAAUGGAACUGCUGAAGUAGUUGUGUUAAUACACUGUUUGUCGUCAUACACAGGAGUAUAGAGAAAUUGAUGCACUGGGCAAGAACAAACUCCACUAAGAGUGUUGAUUUAGGCACUUUGCUUCACUCUAAUGGUAUUUUCAGUAAUCUGGAGGCUUCAUCAUGUCAGCUGAAAGAAGAGAAAUAGGUGUGAGCAAGCAAGCAACUGAUUGACCAGGAGAGCUGGGCAGUGCUGCAUGAAGUCUAAGGCUUUGGUAAAAGAUCAGUGUUCUUCAGAUGUUGUAAUGCCAGCAUCUCAGGAAGACAUUGGUGAAACAUCAGCAAUUCCGUAUGUAAUUAUGGAAAAUGAAAUGCACAAAAGCUGUUUUGGGGAAGAUGGAUGCACAGUCUUUUAGUGUUAACUUUGUCCACAAUGACAGGAAUCUGAACUUUGGCAAAGUUAUGGCAUUUGCCAAUUAACUUUUUACCUUUUGUUAGGUCCAAAGAGAAACUGGAACAAAAGGUAACGAAAGCGAAAUCAUUAAAGUCUUUAAGUUUUGAAAUAUUUAAACAGUGAAGAAAUAGCAUGCCGUUUCUAGAUGAAAGCAACUGGACUUAAAAAAGUGUGUAUAAUUUUGACAAACUGGACUUCCUAUAGGAGGCAGUCUUCAUGUAAUUAAAACACUGCAGCUGCAGUAGAAGAAAAAAGGAAACACUGAAAAGCAAUAAAAUCUUUCCACUGACUUUGAUGGGCUUAACGUCAAGACUCUACAGAGAAAAAACAGAAACACUACCAAAGAGCAGAGGAAGGCUGAAUUAUGGAAGCAUUAAGCGAAUUAAGGAAAGUAGAGGAAAAGUAGAGGAAAGUACUUCCAGGCUGUAGAAUGAAAGUAAGAUGUUUGGAAAAAGCCAGCAGGUGCUCCUCAAGGUAAAAAAAAAUCUUGCCUGAUCAACCUAGCUGAAUUCUAUGAUGACACGUUCUGCAUAUGAAGAGAGAGCAGUGGAUACUGUGUGCCUUCACCUUCUGUAGUAGCCUUGUGAUGAAUUGUGGAGAUCUGGGCUGGGUGGGUGGAGUACAGGGUUAGUGAAACCUACUUGAGUGGCUAGGCUUGAAGUGUAAUAGUCAGUGAUGUGAAGGCAAGCCAGCAGCAUACCAGGCAUGGCACCUGACAAGGAGCAGCCAUGUGCAACUCUACAGGGCUCAGUGUUGACAAAGUAGGAGGCAUCUUUGCAGAAAAUGGUUCUAAGCAUCUCGGUGGCACUGCAUGCUGAGUGUAAUUCAGCAGCACACCCUUCUUGUGAUGAAGACCAAUCAUUUGCUAGUCUGCACUACCAGGUGUGGAAUCUAUGAGUCGAGGAAAGCAAAAAUUCUCCUCUGCUUGGAGUAGAAGCAGCUGCAUCUAUGUCUAGUUUUGUUGAUUCCACUAUGCGAAAGACAGUGAUAAUGUCAUACAAGUCCAGCAGACCACAAAGAUUAAUAGGAAUUUCAACAGAAGGCCACAGGAAUGGGGUUUCUUCAGCCUGCGGAAGUGAAGGCUAAAGGGAGGAAAUUUACUUUCUGUCUUCAACUACCUACUUGAUGGUUGUAAGGAUUCUUUUGAUAUGCACAGUGAAAGGAUGAGUGAUGAUGGACAUAAGUUGCACGAGGUUAGUAACUUUCAUAAUUCCAUGCUGACUGUGCCUGAUUACCUGGUUAUCCUGAAUGUGCUGUAUGAUGGUAAUUGAGGUGAUCUGCUCCGUAACCUUCCACAGAAACCAGGUCAGGCUAACAGACCUGCAGUUCUCCAGAUCCUCCUUCUGUCUGUUCUUAUAGAUGGGCAUCACAUGUUCUGACCCCAUGUCUGCUGAUAAAUGAUACAAAGUGGCUGGGUGAGCACUUCUGCCAGCUCCCUCAGUAUCCUUGGGUGGAUCCCAUCUGGCCCCACAGCUCUGUGUGUGUCUUAGUGGUGCAGCACGUUGCUAGCAAUUUCCUCUUGGAUUAUGGGGGCUUCGUUCUAUUCCCCCUUCCUGUCUUCUAGCUCAGAGGCUGGGUACCCAGGGAGCAAUUGAUCUUACUAUUAAAGACUGCGACAAAGAAGGCAUUAUGUACCUUAGACUUUUCCUCAUCUUUUGUCAUGGUGUUUCCCCCUCAUCCAAUAAAGGCUGAAGGUUCUCUUUAGCCUUUCUUUUGUUGCUAAUGUAUUUAUAGAAACAUUUUUAAUUGUCUUUUAUGGGUGUAGUCAGAUUAAAUUGUAGCUGGGCUUUGGCCCUUAUAAUUUCCUCUCUGCACAACAUUCUUAUAUUCCUCCAGAGCUGCCUCUCAGUGAGUGACUGCCGGAUCAAGGAAAAUCUCAUGUGAGCUGAGAAAGCUGGGGCAGUGUGCAGGCUGAGUAGACUACACAAUGCUCCAAAGAAAAUAUCUUUUAAAAUAUGACUAUGACAAGCUUAACUCCUCAGGUCUAACAUAUUCUGUCUUACAGUAGAUGUGUCAGAUUGGUAGUGGACUACUGCAGUGAAAAGCCUGGGGAUAGCAGACAUCAGAUCUUCCUGUGAGGAAUUGCUGAAGGUGACACCCUGCACUGGCUUACAGUCAAGAAGAUCUAAAGUUCACUUUGAAGUAUAACCCAGAAUAAGAGGACUGAUCUUGAGAAGGAUAAGGUAUGAGCUGACCUCUUGCUGUGUGGGUGUCGUGGUGGCCUCCAGUUACAGGUCAGGAGCAUUGCAGGUGGUUUCCAAACCAGGAAGGUUGCUCUAACAAUGCACAACUGAUUCCCCGCAGGGCUCAUACUAACGAAGUGUUGAAAGGGAAAUGAAAAUAGAGAGAACAGCUUUACUCCCCUCUUCCUUUCAGCUCUUCUCUCUCUCUGGUUUAUUCUGUGCAAUGAGAGGCCACUGAGAUCAGCUGAUGGUACUUCUGAUGUGGUUUCUAGGACUUCUCUCAGUUAACUCUGUCCUAAAAUAGAGCAGGUCUUUAACAACAGCCUUUGUUUCUUGAUUUUCAAAUCACCAGUGAUAGAAAUCUUAGUACAUGGUAAAUAGUUUCAAUCUUUUUCUACUUUAAACUGGUUUGGUUCCACUCCAGCUCCUGGUUGCUGGUUGCAGCUGUAGUUGCUCAGCUGAAAAAUGCUGUGGUAAAUAUCUGCUCUUCAUAGAGAUGAAUAGGCUAAAGAGAUGAAUCUUCCCCAGUCUUUCUCUCUCUCUUAAUCAUAAUUUUCCUAUUCUUCAGUCAGCAUUAAGGUUCUUUACAGUUAUGCCAAUCUUCUCUACACUAUCAAUAUCCUUAUUUACCUGCUAUUCCUAGAAAUGGCCACAAUAUUAUUGUGAUGGCUGCCUCAAUACUAAACUCAGAAGCGUUCAGCAUCCUUAUUCUCAAUCAAUGUUCCCUGUGCACACACACAGAAUUCCCUUUAGCACUCUGGUUAUAUUUAACAUUAACAGAUCAUGAUGCAGAAUCCUUUAAAAUAGCUGCUCUGCAUGAAAGAAAUACUAGAUCCUGUAUGUAUAUAGUGUAUUUUUUAAUCUUACAGGUAUGGUUUUAUAUCUGUCUGCUUAGACUAACAUAUACCAUUGGUAUAUGACAAGGUUAAUGCAAGUUGUUCUCACUCAGAGUUCUGUUCUCUCAUCAUUGUUUGCUGUCCUCCCAGUCCUGCUGUUACCUGCCAAGUUCAAAGCUAACAACUUUACGUAUUUCCCCCAGAUCAUUGACAACAUUUUCUAGAGUACAGAGUCAAUAAUUAAUUUCUGUAAUUAUAGUAAAAGCACAUCUACUCAUUUUUGGUGGUCUGUUUAUAGUUAGCCUUAGAAAUUUGCUAUUUAAUGUAUGCGAUGUAUAGGUUAUUUUCAUCCUGGUGUUUAUUUUUUUAAUUAGGCUAUUUUGUGAUAUCAAGUGAAAUGUCUUAUAAAAGAGUGUAA